UACGUAGGUGGCAAGCGUUGUUCGGAAUUACUGGGCGUAAAGGGUGCGUAGGCGGGUCUUUAAGUCAGGGGUGAAAUCCUGGAGCUCAACUCCAGAACUGCCUUUGAUACUGAAGAUCUUGAGUUCGGGAGAGGUGAGUGGAACUGCGAGUGUAGAGGUGAAAUUCGUAGAUAUUCGCAAGAACACCAGUGGCGAAGGCGGCUCACUGGCCCGAUACUGACGCUGAGGCACGAAAGCGUGGGGAGCAAACAGG
rnacentral:rRNA from 1 species